CGGCCGGCGCAGGUGAGUAACACGUAUCCAACCUGCCCUUUACUCGGGGAUAGCCUUUCGAAAGAAAGAUUAAUACCCGAUAGCAUAAUGAUUCCGCAUGGUUUCAUUAUUAAAGGAUUCCGGUAAAGGAUGGGGAUGCGUUCCAUUAGGUUGUUGGUGAGGUAACGGCUCACCAAGCCUUCGAUGAUAGGGGUUCUGAGAGGAAGGUCCCCCACAUUGGAACUGAGACACGGUCCAA
rnacentral:rRNA from 1 species